AAGCAGCGUCAAUAUAUCGCGAGUCAGAAAUACCGGAGAGGAGCUUCGGCAAGUUUCGGCAAGGCAAAUGCUAGCUUUGAAAAUUUCAUGCCAUCGCAGAGAACGAGACAAACGUAUCAAUUUCUGCCGACAUAUUUCCAUUUCGCCUCUCAUCUCACAUCGACCUAGUAUCAGAUAUUUAUGAAAAGAAAGCUUCUCACCUGCCGUUAAGCCCCUCUUGGAAAAUAACACGGUCGUUUAACGCGCCGUCAUCAUUUCAUCAUCGUACUAUUGGAAAACGGUAAGACCGUUCGAUCUCCGCCAUUGAAUCAAGCUGCGCUGAUGCUGAAAUCGGUGGCGCCUCAUAGCGGAGUCUUUGAAACUAACUACGAAGCCGUUUAGCCAAGACACAAACCUUACUUUACCAAAAGUUGAACGUCGCUUAGCCGAGUUGAAAACCGUUAACGGAAUCUCUUUGUGGCGCCACUAUGUGGCGCUAGAUAACGACUUAACAUGUCUAGUGGAUUGGCAAUUACCUCAAAGCGCUAUUUCCGAAUCUCCGCUGCGAGCACACUCGCAGUCAUCGCUUCUACUGAUAAUAAAUAAACAAAGAGAUACAAUGCCGCUCUGAAAGAAAUUUUCGCGAGGGAACCCCGAAUCACAUUGGUGCUCCUACCUGUCAAUGACGAGGGCGACGGUUAUCGUCAUCAACACCUCGACGACACCGACGACGAUGCUCG